CUCAACUCAUUGAGACUAACAACUGAGUUGAGAAAAUGUGGUGCCGCUCUGCCCUUUUCAGAAGUCACCAGCUCUAGGGAAGAAGCAUGUACCUCCUACUCUGCUCCCUCAUCCUGCCCUCGUCUUCACUAGUCCCUUUUCUCUAUGAGGCUGUGUAACCAUAUAGGGAACUCUGUGCUCCUUGUGGUUUGCAGAGUGCUUGAUACAUGCUGAUGUUAAGGUGUGAGGAUUCCCUCACUCCUGAUCUGGGCGAGUUCACAGCAGGCUGGCUCUUGAGCCACCAUCCUGCAUUCUCUGGAUAGCCCAGCUGAGCCUUCUCUCCAUUCUGUCAAGAAUGAAUUCAAAACUGAUCUCCUCCGUCGGGAAGCAGGCACUUAUUGCUGGCUGGAAUAUGAAUUCGAAUAGUCUUGGGGAAGGCAAUUUGGACUAUUUGGCCAUUUAAAAAUGUAUAUCCUGCAUUUCCAUUUCUGGGACUUUAUCCUUCAGAUAUUCCAUUUCUGAACUUUAUCCUUCAGAUAUACUCUGAUGCCUAUGGAAUGACAUAUAUUUGUUGCAGCUUUGUUUUAGCUAAAGGUUUCAAACAGCCCAAAUGUCUGUCAAUAAGGGACCCUUAUACAAUACAGCUGUUAAAAAGCAUGGAGGGAGGACAGGUCAGGUGUGUAUGUUGAUAUAGGAAGAACUCUCAGUUAUAGGUUAAGUACAGUGUGUAUUGUGUGUCACCAUUUGUGUUUGUGUUGUGCAUGCAACAUAUAUGUGAAUGCUUGUGUCUGCACUGGAUAUCUCUGAAAGACAUAAAGCCCCAUAGCACAGCUGCCUCUGGGGAGAACUGUGGCUGAUGUAGAGGGGUGGGAAGAAGCCUUACUUUAUACCAUAUACUCCUUUGUUCAGUAUUCAAAAAUAAUGAGAUAAAAUAAUUUUUAAAAAUCCCGUUCUUGCUGAAAUGGAUCUGGUAGUGAACACAUCUAUGGACCCCAUCCCCUAGUAUACCCAGGCACUGGUGGUUUGCCUUUUCACUGUCGAUUGUAGCUGUCAUUAUUGAGUGCUUACUGUAUGCCAGGCUUCUGUAAUAUCACCUUUAAUUCUCAAAAGAAAUGACAUAGUGUGGUCUAUAAAAUUGCCAUUUUUAAAAAAGAUUUAUUUAUUUAUUUGACAGACAGGACAAGUGGGGGGAGGGACAGAGGAAGAGAAUCUUCAAGAGAACUCUCAGGUAAGAGCAGAGCCCGCACAGGUGCAGGGCUCAAUCUCACGAUCCAUGAGAUCAUGAUCUGAGCUGAAACCAAGAGUCAGACACCUAGCGGACUAAGCCACCCAGGCAUCCCUGAAGUUGCCAUUUUUGAAGGUCAAAAAAUCAUUAAAUGCUGAUAAUUUCAUACGAUUCAGCCUAAUAUUAUUGCCCUCCUUUUGAAAUAUUAUUACUUUCAAUUUCAAAAUGGCGCUGAGGCUCAAGAGGUUAAGCAAAUGGUUUAAGGUCACAAGAUUAAUUAGUGCCAGAGCCAGGACUCAAACCCAGGCUUAUUUGAUGCCAGAAGGGAGGGGAGGACCGUAAGUACUACACUCUGCUGUUUCUCUUUACUGGUUAUGUUCUCAAACGAUGCUACUUCUGAUUGUCCCUUUUGGUAUUUAAAUCCCGGGAGGCUGGAACAUGCUCGCCUUUUCCUGUCUCUUCCAACAUUGUGAAAUGUGCUGCUUAGCACCCAAGAGUAAAAUGCAUAUUGUUGGCUUGAUCAGAUGACAAGGUGCGGGCAGAAGGAGUUAUGCACUUGUGUCUACUCAUCCUCCCGCAGCUCUAUCCCCAGAAAGAGGGCACAAAGCUCUUCUUUCCCACAGUUGGACGGGUGGCCAACAAAGUCGAGCACUUUUAGAAGAUAGUGGUAGCCCAUCACUAGCUAGCGGAAAUGACAAAAGGUGCUCACACUCAGGGAGUGAACCAUAGUGAGGUGACAUGGGAGAACCCAGUGGAAACUGUACCCAGAACAGAGUCGCUGAUACCUUGUGAAGCCACCUGCGGUGACCUCUGACCUCUUUCUUUUAGGGUCUUGUAUUGGCUGGUCCUCUUUGCAGGGAAGUUCCAGGAUAUGCAGACUAUAGACCUGAGGCUCGCAAGCCAUGGGAUCUUUACUCAUCUUUAUGUCCUCAACCUUGUACAUAGGAAUCACUUCACAAAAGUUGGUUGAAUUAAAUUUAUUUAUUUAUUUUUUAUUUUUUUAUUUUUUGGUUGAAUUAAAUUUAAUCUCAGCAUCUUGUCAAUUUCUGGUCAAAUCCCUAAACUUGCCAAAGCCAUCCCAGGUCAAGUCUGUGUUUUCUCUGAUAAUAGGCCUAGAGUCUGAGGUUACCUGAUGAUCCCUGUGGGCUCUUUUCAUCACCCACCCUGCACGCAGCCCCAGCCCCUGCCUCAGAGGUAUACUCCACCAACCUCUGGGCUGUGUCAGUCCAGGAUGCCGGGGUACUGAGGGAGUUCCAAAGCAGGGCUCCAGGUGGUGCAGUCAUUUGACUGUCUGAGUAGGUUAGACUGACUGAGCAGUUUAGCAUGCUGGGCGCUAGUAGGAAUCAAGAGAAGUGGGUUUCACAAGAGCGGCCAUGAGUUGAUUUUUGUAGCUGGGGGGAGGGUAUAUGGGGACUUACUGUACUAUUCUCCCUACUUGUAUAUAUUUUAAGCUUUCCAGAAUAAAAAAUGAACAGUUGUACUAGGUUUUGUCCCUUCUCUCAUCUCCCCAUCUGUUUUGCCAUUAAUGUUCUGUGUUAGGCUAGUCAGAUAGCAUGAGACUCCGCCACCAUUAUUGAAGCAUCUGCACAGAAAGAGGAUGUUCUGUAUGUUGGGAGAUUGGGAUUUUUGGCCCAGUUCUGAUACUACUUAGGUCUGUAUCUCAAGUCAUGGAUGUGAUGGGUUUUCUUAUCUGUUCAUUGUGAAUAAUAUCUCUUGUCCUACAUCUCAGGGAUAUUGAGAGGAGCAGGAGAGAAAUCACACCUGUCACAAUACUUUGGAAAGUUAAAAACCAUUCUGUAAAUUCUCUUCUGCUCAUCUUUGCACAUCUUUAUGGGAGAGACAAGUGCGAGGUGAUUUAGCAGAUGAAGUUCAAUUUGCUGGUAGUUUGCCUUAACAUCUCAUGUUUUAUAGCUGCUGCGGCAACCACCUGCUUCUGUCGGAAGAGCCUCUGGGCCAUGUGCUUGGCAGUAGGCACCUUGCUCCAGUUCCCUUUUGAAAGCUUAUAGCUCUCCUCACAUGCUGAGACAAGCCUAGCACAAGUCCAGCCCCCACACUAGCAUUUCCAGGGCAGGGAGAGGCUUCAGCAGAGCACUUGAUCUGUUCAAAAAUGUAAUGUCAUAAGAUGCUUGAUUGGGAAAGGACUCCCUGCAGUCUAGGUAUAAUUUCAGAUAUCAGGGCUAGGCAGAGGCCAGUGAUGUGUUUUACUUCCAAAGCUCCUGGAGAUUUUGAUGAUUUGGUUUUCCACUGUCCUCAUGAAAUCUGAGCUGCAGCUUUGACAGUCAAUAACAGGGAAUUAAAAUACACCAAACUCUUUCAAUGCCACGAAAGGAUUAAGUUUCUCUUGCCCCUUGGUGUUAUUUGGGUGUUUUUACUGCUAAUUCUUAGCCCUCAGCUAGAUUGCAAGACUCCCAGGUCCUACUUUCAGAUCUGCCGCUUUUUUUAUUCAUAUGAGAAAAAGCAAAAUCCCUUUAAAGGACAAAGCAAAUCAAACACGAUGAAGCCUCCCAGCCUUCUCUUCUCCAGAGGCUCCACAAGGUUCUGUUUUGUCUUUUCAGCUGUGAUCUUAGCUCAGAGAAGGUCAUGUUUUGUUUUUGUCUUUUGUCUUCCUGCGCCGUUCCAGUCGGUCCCAGUCUUUUGAGGUGGGGAUUGCUGGGAGGUCACAAUGUUGGGAUUGUUCAGUAUGACAGUCCCGGGAGAGCAGGGCUGAGGUCACAUGUCCAGUGUUCUGAGCUGCCCAGAACCCAAAGACUUAGAUACUAGACCCAUCAGUGUUUAAUUGUUGGGCCUUUCUCUACAGGUCUACUGACCCUGCGUUCUAAAUGGAAAGUCGAGACUCAUGAUAAAUGUCUGUGCUUAUAGAGGUUGUGGUGUCAGAAUGUUUGAGACCAGGAUGCCCUGGAAAAUCUUGAAUAUGGGUUCACCUUAGUGCCAAGGAUCCUGAAAGAUCCCAUAAAAUAGUUCUCUCAUUCUUAACAAUCCAGCUCACUCUUUGUGAAAUCAGAAUUCUUUUCAGUUUCUGGAUAGGUAAAGAGCACAGUUGCUAAGAGUAGGAAUUUUGGAACAAGUAUACCAUUCCCACUACUUACUGGCUCUAGAACUCUGUAUAGCCUCUCAGUUCCUCCCUGUCCUCAUUGUGAGAGUGUCUUGCCUUACGUAUCUUCAUGAGGAUUAAAGAGGCCACACAGGCCUGGCAUACAAUAAGAACACAAUAAAUCAUAGCUAUUUGUGGUAUGGGAGACAGAUACUUGUAAAAGUCAAAUGUGAGGUGAUUAACCCAUUGAAGAUAAGCUCAUUGGUUACCAAGGUAGUAUCCGGCAACAGUACAGCAGGUUCUGGGUUUUCUGAGGCCAUGUGGCUCCUGAAGAAGUGAAAAGGGAUUUAAAAAACAAAUUUUUAGUACAGAACUCUCUAGGCAUGUAUUCAAAUAGAGAAACAAAUAUAAAGAACUCCCAGGUGCCCAUCAACUAGCUUCAAAAUAUCAGCAAUUUGAUAAAUCUUAUUUCAUAUAUCUCCUCCCCACACUACUGCUAACCCCCUAACCAUGAAGUAUUUUAUUUUUUAUUUUGUUUUAUUUUUAAAAGAUUUUAUUUAUUUAUCUGACAGAGAGAGAGCACAUGCAGGGGUAGGGGAGAGGAAGAUGCAGACUCCCUAGUGAACAGGGAGCUGGACUCCGCUUGAUCCCAUGUCCUGCAAGGGCAGACGCCUAAAGGACAAAGCCAUCCAGCAUUCCUACCAUAAAGUGUUUUAAGGCAUAUAUCCCAGAUUAUAUCAUUUCUCUUGUAAGUCAUAUGUAUCUCUGACUGAUCACAUUGUAAAAAUAUUAUCAACCUAAAAAACUAAAAGUCAUUCCUUAACAAUCACCUGAUGCUCGAGUAAUCAUAUGUCAUGGUUUGGGGCAGACCAAAUUUAUGCUUGUUGCCAAGCAUCAUUAUUACUGGGGGGGAGGGGCAUUUUAAAGUCCUGAUGACAGAUGUGUCUUCCAGCUCAUUGCUCCUUUGUGUUCAGUCUUCUGUGUCCUCUGUCUCUGCUUCUGUAUUUUCUCAUCCCCAACCUAAUUUAUCUUCUCUAAAAUUUGUCCAGGAGACAUCUGAGUAUAUUCCCCCAACUGGGAAUAUUAUAGGUGUCUACUUGAUUUGCUCUGAAUUUGUAUAAUUGAUGCAAAGACUUGUGGCAUUCCCCGGAGUCUACCUCUGUAGUCUACCUACAGUCUACAGCAAAAUGUCUACCAAUCUUUUGGUUUGCAUUUUCGAACUUAGGGUGAGAAUCUGUUCCAAAAGAGAACACCUUUUUCUCUAAAAAUCUAUAUAGGGGCAGCCCCGGUGGCUCAGCGGUUUAGCGCCGCCUUCAGCCCAGAGUGUGAUCCUGGAGGCUCGGGAUUGAGUCCCACAUCAGGCUCCCUGCAUGGAGCCUGCUUUUCCCUCUGCCUGUGUCUGUGCCCCUCCACCCCCAUGUGUCUCUCAUGAAUAAAUGAAUAA
rnacentral:lncRNA from 1 species